rnacentral:lncRNA from 1 species
CCUGCCCCGGCAGCGGGAAGCACCUUGGCAUUGCGGAUCCAUCUAGAUGCCAUAGCGUGCCACACGUGUGCAGCCACCCUGCGGGAACGGCCUCUGCUCCCCCCUACUGCCGUGCUAGAGACUAAAGUUAAAACCAGGCAAGGCAGAUCCUCGAGGGCUAGCGGGGGUUAUGCACGCAGGCGAGGACUUCCUGCUGGGGUAACUGUGGAAAUUGCCACCCGCAGUUGCCUGUGCCUGUGCCUGUGUUGUCCCUCUGCUACUGGGGAUACUGGAGCAGGAGCAACGGGGACAGCUGGGAUCUCUCAGCCUUUCCUCUUCUCAUCCCAACUACUGUGGGCUAUACCUGCGAAAUGCAGUGAUCAAAACCAAAGAAACUGGAGCAGAGUCGGAGAGCGCCCAAGGCCACAGGAGAGCCCGGCUCUGCCGCCCUCUCCCGCGCUGGUGGGCGAUCACCACCGUCAGCCAACACAGCGAUGCCACUCCCAGGCUUUCCGUUCGCUGGUAGGGCCUGUAUAAAGCAUCACUAGAGUGAGCUAUCUGAGCACGGUGUUUUCCUCCUUCUCCGGUCAUGUCCAAGGAGCCACUGCGUUGAGCAAUACCAGACAUCUGCAAAAGAAGGGAAGUGGCUGCCACAAGCAAGUAACACAAUACAGUGGCAAUUGUAAAGAGAAAAGUCUUCAUGGAUUACACAUCUAAAUCUAAUAUAGAGGACCUCUGCAGGCUGAUUUCUUUCUGCUGAAUGCACAGCAUGCUACACAUGCUACACUGAUUUUUCAGACAAAAAUAGGGCAGGAUUUCAGCAUGCUAAAGCCUCUCUUGCCUGUGCACAAAGCGAGCUGUACCAGAAAGAACAAGCAAGAU